ensembl:lncRNA
UUGGGAGACAGGGAGGGCUCCGACUGCAUAUACAAACUCAGCCAUGACUGAUUCGCUAAAAUUUCUCUAUUAAAUUUAUCUCUGCACGUUCCUUGAGAGAGAAACCCCAGAGCACUUUAGGAGGACAAGAGGUGAUAGAGCAGAGAGAAAAAUCAGCUUCUUCCCCUUUUUGUAAGCAGGAAACCCAAGUCCCCAACUCCACGCCUAACAUAUAUGUGGCUCCAGUCAACGAUGAAUUUCUACAUUUUGGCAACGGUCAGAGUGAAAGUAGUCGCACUAUCUAUAGAAACUUUGAGAUGGAGAACACUUGAGUAUGCUACUGAAAAUGCAAGAAACACAUUUUGAAAGGAUGAAAUAAUAUCACUGAGUGACAGUAAAUUAACAUGCUGACAUUUGCAGACUUUCAGAGCAUUGCCAUAAAAAGAAGUAAUACAACAUGACUAAUUUGGACUUCUUCUUUCUUCCUUCCUAGGGAGAGACAGCCCUGCCCCUCCAAGGCCACCCUGCAGGCUUUGUCUACCAGGCACUUCCUCCUCUCUCCCAGGAAGCACGUGUGACUCUAACACUCCCUUGCGCUCCCACGUUGCCUCUUGGAGAUUCUAGGGGAGAAGGCGGUUUUGACUUCUGUGAUUCGAAGAUGCUCUCCCAAACAGCAGAAGGAUGUUGCUUGGCUGGCAGUGGGCACACAUGCUGGCCACUGCCCAGAUCCCCUGGCUGGUAGGGUGCCAGGGUUGGGAGAGUCCUCCCACACCCCUGAGCACCACGGCACUCAUGGGGAGACUGAGGCACAGACAGGCUGUGCAUUCCCAGCUCGCUCUGCUUGCUCCUGGACCAAGUAUCCAACCUGGAAAGUCCUCCCAGUGGAAAUAGGCAUUCUCUCAGCCUCCCAGCGCAGGGAGGAAUAGGAAAGGGCCCUUCUUAGAGCCAGCACAGUGCUUGGCACAUGGAAAGCACCUGGUUAACUUUGCUAAAGAAAAAUGAUUCUCCAAAGCCCCUUAGCGAGGGCCCUCCCACUCAACCUCUCCUUUCCUCAGAAGCCUGGCCUCCACUAGAGGCCAUUCUCUCUGGAGCAGGAUGCUGCUUUGUCCUCAGAGCUGUGCUUCCCAGCAUCAGAGUGUCUCUGCCUCUUAAGCCCCCAGGGCGCCCCCUGGCUCAAUCACUCACUCCUGAGGCCCCCUGGGCAAACAUCUGUCAUGACUUGUGUUGCAAUCUGCUUACAGGUGAGUCUCUACCCGCGCCCGGGAGCAGCUGGGGGCUGCGCCUUUCUCUCUGGCACCUGGCACAGGGCCUGGCAGAGUAGGUGUGGCCAGGUGGGCGGCAUGUGCGCGGAAGCCCUGUGUGGAUACACCCAGCUGUAAAGGGAGGCUCCACCGUGCCGAGUCCCGGGUGAAGCCCUGUCCAUUCAUAGCUACAUUCCAUCCCACAGCCAUCCAACGGGGUGGGAGCCCCUUUGUAAACUUAUCCCACCCACAAAGGGGAAAGAAACAGCCUCAAGAUGACAGCAGUGCCAAGACCAUGGUAGUUCUGGUGGAGAAUGGCCUUGCUGAGGUCUGGGCACCCCCAAAUCUGGAGCUGUUCCUGGCUCUCUUCUCAGAGCUCCUCUGCCCUGACUGGCCCAUCACCCCUGCCCCAGGCAGUCCCCUCCCCCACGACGUGGGUCCAGUCUAGGCUUCUUCCUAUGACCAUGAAGAGAAGAGGGACAGCCUGACUCGUCUCCCAACAGCAGCCCCUGUGGAUGCAGACACAGGGCUGGGCUCCGAGGCCCCUGGGUGCCUGGUUCUCUCAGGGAGACUGGGCCCAGGCAUCUCCUUCAGAUGCAGUGAUAUGCUCCAGGAUUCCUAAGCAGGAGGAGUUUCCCAUCCACGGCCGAGAAGGAUAGAGAAUUCGCCUGUGUACCCCUCUGCCGCCACCAUCCCUGUUGAUGGGCAAGAUGCCAUCCUGGACACCCAGGAGCUCUGUAGUGACCAUGAUGCCCAAACCACACACUUCCAGGAGGGGAGCAGCUGUGGUGACAGGUGGCGAUGGAUGGGGCUGGAGUAGGAGGUGCUGGCAUCCACCCCGUGGCCCAGCUGAGCUGCGGAGAAAGGGCACAGCACCUCUGGGCCGUGGGGGAAGCUUGGUGACUCAGAUAGAGGGCCAGGUGGGAUUCCGAGGGAGACACAAGUCCCCCAGGCCAUCGACAAGGUUGUUCUGGAGACAGCACAUUUCUGCAACAUGGCGAGUGACGAGAAGGGCUCAGAGUGUCUGGGGACUCAAGGCCACCCCCCUAUAACAGCAGAAGUGUCAGUUCAGACAGAGUGAGCAGAGCAGCAUGGUCCUCAGAGAGCAGAACAUUAAGCCCCCUCCCAGCUCUAGGAGCAGCAUUUUACUACAACUGGGGGUCCUCACCCCAGAUGUGUGCUGUUUGGAUUAACCACCACCUGCUGCUGGCCAAUGAACCGUAACAAAACUAUUUAACCCAACAGCAUCCAUACUUAUAACAAUAGCUUUUACUAUAAAACUAGGAAUGAGGGUUGAGGGGAGCUCAGAAAGCUCUGGUACUUUCGGUUGAUGUCCCCACUUACAGCAGACAGGAAAUUUCAUCCUUUGAUUUCCCAUCUUGCCGUCAGUGGAGUUGUUAGUAAAACAGGGAGCUCAAGAGCAGAUUUUUGAUGGCCUUUCCCAAGGGCCCCAGGCCCUGACCUAAGAGGGAACCCAGACCUUCCCACCUUCCCGAGUUAUGAGACAGUGGGCUGACACCUGUUUCCUCCCCUUGAUGAUGACUUCUCACCCUCUCCUGCUGAGACAUCUGUCUGGUCCCACAUGAUCCAGGUGUUGCCUGCUGACUUUCAGACUCCGUAGUCCUUCCUGGCAGGCCUGAAUUUAGGUGGGUCCUGUCCCUGAAGUUCCCCUUUGGCUCCUGGAGAGCGUAGGGAUUAGGGCAGUGAGUGGAGUCACUGUGACCUUUGGAACACAGCCUCGCUCCUGCUAGCCUGGGAGGUGAACCCACCACCUUUGACUGUAGUUGCCCAGAACAGGUCAGAGCCCAGGUGAGUCACACAGCAGCUGUAGGGCAAGAACAAGAACUUGAACUCCACGCAUCCAAAAUGUGGGGGAGCAGAGAUCACUUGCCUUGUUGAACAGGAUCCGUUUACAAGGGCCAGAGUGCAGAAAUGCGUCCAUUGUGGAAACACAAAGCCACCGAAAUAUGAAAGCCAGCCCUCAGCCGCCUCUCAGAGGGAGCGAGCCCCAGCGUGUUUUGUUUCCACCCUGGGGAUCUGGCCGGUGCACGGCCCUGCCAGGCUGGCAACCCAGCUGGGGCUCGGUUCCCAGCAUCUCACAGUUUCACUGCACCUGUGCGGCAUAGCUUUGUGGUGAUUCAUUCCCGCCUCCUCCUUGGCCUCGCUGUGCCCCGGACCCAAGAGGGAGCGGCCCAAGGCACCCGGUUCGCACUGGGCAUCCCCGAGGAGGCGUGUCCUAGAAGCCCUCCCUUUGUCCUCUUGCAAGUGGGGCCCUGGGGACAAUGAAGCCAGGUGGAGCUUGCUGGUGGGUCUCGGGAACCCAGUGGUUAGCUGGGUCACCCUUUCUCCCAGUCGAAACCCAUGAGAUUCCCAGGACCAGGCUGACUGCGUCCCUAGAUCCUUGCAGCAGAAUUAGCGCAGGAGUCCCCUUGUUCUGCAGAUGUGGGGCUGGGAGUGGUGCUCAGAGAAGGGCAGGAGCUCCCUCUGCUUCAGUCACAACACACUGGGCUCUCUCUGAACCUCCAGGUCCUGCAGCUGAACACAGAUUUGUCUGCAAAUCUGGGUAACAGAAUGAACUUAAUUUGGUGAUUACACUGGUAGGCUCUGUUGCCAUCCUCGCUGGGAAAUGUCCACACAUUUCAGAGAUGGAAAGUUAGCCCCCUCUGCAUGUCUAGCCCUUCCCACAUGGUGUAUUUUCAGGCCCUUUCCACUUGCACGUGGAUGUAGAAGUUCACUAUCACUGUGAGCUCAUAUGUGCACCAGGCGGCUAUGUCCACACACGCAUAGACACUGGUUUUUUUUUUUUUCCACAAAAUGUAGUCAUCUUGCACAUAUUGUUGAUGACGUGCCAUUCUCACUGUGAGCCCUGCGGAGGAGCUGAGUUUGGGACCACUUACAUUCCCAACUAUUUCUCCAUCAAGGGCAUUACAGCAGCUUUCCUUUUUUGGUCCUUCUCUUCUUUCCUUGUCAUCUUCUCUCUCUCUGCCUCCUUCUCUCUGUUUCUCUCUCUCUCCUUCGCCCUCCCCAUGCAAUUAUAAUCAGCACUGAGGGUAUAUCCUUGAAUGUACAUUGCUCUGCACACCUGCUAUGCAGUCCCCUAACAGGGACUGAGCUAGAACAAAGGGACAGUCAUUUAACAUUUGAUGCCCUGUUUUGUCACCCUCCAAAAAGUCCACGUGUGUUUUACAAACUUUAACUUUUGCAUCCUAACAACUUACAUCACCAGUAUGUUGGAGGCAACCCAUAGGUGAUAGCUAAAGGCCCUUGAAUGGCCAUGAUUAUCUCCAUCCUAGGACCCGUAGGGAAUACACCCUGGGUACAGCUGUAACAUCCUCGCACUGAUACAUGCGUAGUAUUAGGGACUGUUUUUGUUAAACUGAAUAAGAGAGCAUUUAAACUGCUCUAUGACUCUAAAAAGAUCUGUAUACUACACAUCUCUAUAAAAGUCUAUGUUUUUAUUUAAGAAUUUGUAUGUGUAGGGAAAAAUAAAAUAAAUACGGUUAGUAUUUUUAAAUAUUUACCUAACAUACAUUAUCUUGUUGAAACCCCAUCAUGGUCUUUUGGGACUGAUACAGUUAUUACUCACUGUUUACAGAUGAAGACAUGGCAGUGUUCUGAAUGAAGUGAAGUGGAAGUCACUCAGUCAUUUCCGACUCUUGGUGACCCAAGAAUUCUCCAGGCCAGAAUACUGGAAUGGGUAGCCUUUCCCUCCUCCAGGGGAUUUUCCCAACCCAGGGAUCGAACCCAGGUCUCCCGCACUGCAGGCAGAUUCUUUACCAGCUGAGCCACCAGGGAAGCCCAAGAAUACUGGAGUGGGUAGCCUAUCCGUUCUCCAGGGGAUCUUCCCAACCCAGGAGUCAAACUGGGGUCUCCUGCAUUGUAGGCAGAUUCUUUACCAACUGAGCUAUGAGGGAAGCCCUGAAUAUUUGAGGUGGUCCCCAAAGAUGACCGCAACCCAACCUGUAGAACCUGUAAAUCUUAAUUUUCUUGGAAAAAAAGGGUCUUUGCAGAGAUAAGUUAAGGGCCUUGAGACACAGGAAUCAUCCCAGGUUAUCCAGUGUGCCCUAACUCCAGUGACAAGUGUCCUGGGGAGAUGACACAGAGAGAAGAAGGCCACGCAAAGGCAGAGGCAGAGAGUGGAGUGAUGUGGCCACAAGCCCAGAAAUGCCAGCAGUCACCAGAAACUGAAAGAGGCAAGAAACAGAUGCUCCCCUAGAGAGCCCCUGCAGAUGCCUUGCUUCCUGACUUCUAGUCUCUGGAAUUGCGAGAUAGUGUGUGUUUGUUGUUCUAAGGCACUGAGUUUGUACAAAUUGAUGAUGGCAGCCCUAGGACACUAAUGCAGACCCUGAGGCUUGGUGGGGUCAGUGGGCGAGGGCUCUGCCAUGAGCUCAGCUGCCCGGGGUGUUCAGGUGGAAGGAUAGGUGAGAGCCGCAAGGCCUGGAGAAGCUGGCUGUGCCUCAGGAGUCCUCUGGGGCCCACUGU